rnacentral:rRNA from 1 species
UGGGGAAUAUUGCACAAUGGGCGCAAGCCUGAUGCAGCGACGCCGCGUGGGGGGAUGACGGCCUUCGGGUUGUAAAACCUCUUUCAGCAGGGACGAAGCGAAAGUGACGGUACCUGCAGAAGAAGCACCGGCCAACUACGUGCCAGCAGCCGCGGUAAUACGUAGGGUGCGAGCGUUGUCCGGAAUUACUGGGCGUAAAGAGCUCGUAGGUGGUUUGUCGCGUUGUUCGUGAAAACCGGGGGCUUAACCCUCGGCGUGCGGGCGAUACGGGCAGACUAGAGUACUGCAGGGGAGACUGGAAUUCCUGGUGUAGCGGUGGAAUGCGCAGAUAUCAGGAGGAACACCGGUGGCGAAGGCGGGUCUCUGGGCAGUAACUGACGCUGAGGAGCGAAAGCGUGGGGAGCGAACAGGAUUAGAUACCCUGGUAGUCCACGCCGUAAACGGUGGGUACUAGGUGUGGGUUUCCUUCCUUGGGAUCCGUGCCGUAGCUAACGCAUUAAGUACCCCGCCUGGGGAGUACGGCCGCAAGGCU